rnacentral:misc_RNA from 1 species
CAUCCAACGCACUUGAGUGUGCGGCAAUGAGGCGUCACGGCACACUUAUGCCGCCGUGUCCCUUGAAAAGCAGAGAGACUCGCAUCGUGCGUGGUUCUGCACCCCCAUGCGAAGGCUAAAAAUCCAUUUGGUCCUUGGCUGGGUCAGUGUUCGGAGCGCGCGCGGAGUCCCACGCAAAAACAUAACUAUC